GACGCUUUGGUGUAAUGGAUAACACUUCAGUCCGGUCUACUGAUGUUGCUGGUUCGCACCCAGCCGCCGACU